rnacentral:rRNA from 1 species
GCUUGUCUCAAAGAUUAAGCCAUGCAUGUCUAAGUAUAAACGACUUUAUACUGUGAAACUGCGAAUGGCUCAUUAUAUCAGUUAUAGUUUAUUUGAUGGUCCUUACUACUUGGAUAACCGUAGUAAUUCUAGAGCUAAUACAUGCGUCAAAACCCAACUUCUGGGAGGGUUGUAUUUAUUAGAUGGAAACCAAUGCGGGGCAACCCGGUAUAUGGUGAUUCAUAAUAACUUUCGGAUCGAUCUUCGGAUCGAUGCAUCAUUCAAGUUUCUGCCCUAUCAGCUUUGGAUGGUAGGGUAUUGGCCUACCAUGGCUUUAACGGGUAACGGAGAAUUAGGGUUCGAUUCCGGAGAGGGAGCCUGAGAAAUGGCUACCACAUCCAAGGAAGGCAGCAGG